AUUUAAUACCCAGCCUUUCUCCCCUGUACACGCGCGCUCGAGUUAAAGUGACAUUGAAACCGGAGCUCAAAGAGAUGAAGGCAAAGGACCUGGGGGCAGCCGCCCCCUGCCCCGUCCCCCGGGGGAUGAGCUCUGCUCGUUGGGUUGGGUUUGGAGUGGGAAGGUGGUACCCGGGCGCAGGAGGAUGCUCGGAAGAAGAGCACGUGGAGCUUGUCGAUGCUGGUACUCAGCACCAGCACCAGCUUCGGCCACCACUUGCCGCUCGCUAGCUGCAGCGGGACGUGGGGAGAGGCUUCUGUGCUCACCAUUUGGUGGGGAUCAGGUGCUGGAUGCUCCCCCCGAGAUGCCACCUCCUGCCUCGCCGCCGCCGCGUGGGGACCGCGCCAUCUGCACCCGUGAGUCAGCAGGACCCACUCAGCACGUCUCCAGCAGGAUCCGGGCAGCUCCCGCUCCCUCGGCGUGUUCCAGUCUCAGCUCAUUAAAGGGACGCAUCCUGAGCUCUUCCUUGGUGUUCGGCGCUGCCUGGCUCCAUCUUCAGAGGAAAAGCUCUCACUGCACUCGGCGGCUGCGCCUCCGCCGUGCCGCAGGCUGAGCCAGGGGCGCAGGAUCCGGCCCCCCAGGGGCUCAGCCCUGCCCGCUGCCGAGCCGCGCCAGCGCAAGCGGGGUUAGCACAGCGAGGUUUGACUCCAAAGCAACCGAGAGACGUCUCCGGGCCAGAAGCCCUCCACGGCGUUUUCCUUCCAGGGAUUAGGAAAGGUUCGGGAGGAAAGCGCGAGGAAGGGCUGGCUUUUCUCCCCACUGCUUGCAGAGCAGAGGAACCGCGUGGUAUGGAAGGGAAAUUAUGUUUUCCCCCUCCCUGUGCUGCCAUCUGUUUGUUUCAAGCCCGGUGGGGUGGAUGUACCUGGUUCCUCCUCACCGAGGCACGUUUUUGGAGCCACAUGCCCCUGCACCCCUGGGGAGCUGCAGCCUUUCGGCACCUUUCCCUGCACUGGCUGUUGCUUCUGAAGAGCGGGUGGCACUGUCUGGCUUCAAGUGGCUUUCACAUAAUACAGACUGUCAGGCUAGAUGAACAUCCCCGUCCCUUCUGGCCCUAAAAUCUGUGAAUCUAAAAAUCGGAGGGCACCAGCA